rnacentral:lncRNA from 1 species
AUGUUGUCAGAAGACAGAGAAGCUCAGGAGGGUGAAUUGUUGGCCCUGGAGAGUAUUUAUGAUGGGGAUGAAUUUAGAAAAGCAGAGUCUGUUCAAAGUGGAGAAACCAGGUUCCAUUUGGAUUUGCCACAGAAUUUCAAGAUAUUUGUGAGUGCUAUCUGCUCUAUGCAAGCAUGUAGACAUCCUAUGGGAAGAACACCAUGGCAGCAUGGUCCUUUUUGCCUGGAUGCAGUUUGUUAAGGAAGAGACGCUAGUGUACUUGAAUAUUGUCUCUCCUUUUGAGCUCAAGAUGGGUUCUCAGAAAUAAGUGUAGAGAAUGACAGCCCAAGCCUCUCCCAGCACAAAGCUAGAUACUGGAGGAGCUGCUGGAUCUAAUGUAGGCCAAGAGGAAAUUGUGGAUGAGAGAGCUGUGCGGAUGUGGAAUCACUGUCAAGUCUAAUCCAGAAAAUCUUGGACUUUGAUCAAGCUCAGCACAUAAAAUGCUUUAAUAGUAAAUUUUUCCUGUGCAAUAUGUUUCUGUGAGAAGCUGGGCAGUGAAUGCAUGUACUUCUUGGAGGGCAGGUAUGUAUACUGCAAAGCUUGUCUGAAGGACGACUUUGAACUCCAGAUCAGAGAUGGUCAGGUCCAAUGCCUCAACUGCCCAAAACCAAAGUGUCCUUUGAUGGCCACUCCUGGUCAGGUCAAAGAGCUAGUGCCUGUUAUCACUGCCUUCUCCUCCAGUCCACUUUGAACUUGAUGGCACAUGUGGUGUACUGCCCCUGCUCAUGCUGCCCAGCUGCCCGUGAUGCAGAAUCCUGGCUGCAGCAUGGGCAUCUGCUCUAGCUGCAAUUUUGCCUUCUGUACCUUGGGCAAAUUGACCUACCAUGGGGUCUCUCUAUGUAAGGUGACUGCAGAUAAAUUAAUAGACUUAUGAAAUAAAUCCCUGAAUGCAGAUGAGGCCAAUAAAAGAUUUUUGUAACAAAGGUAUCGUAAGAGGGUGAUUCAGAAGGCACUGGAAGAGAUGGAAAGUAAGGAGGGGCUAGAAAAGAACUCAAAGGGCUGCCAUGUUGUGGAACUCCCAUAGAGAAAUUGAUGAAUGUAAUAAGAUGACAUGUACUGGCUGUAUGCAAUAUUUCUGUUGGAUUUGCAUGGGUUCUUUCUCUAGAGCAGACUCUUACAAACAUUUCACUGAUCCUACCUCAUCAUGUUUUAAUGGGCUGUUUCAUGCUGUGGAUGUUAAUGGAGAUAUUUGGGAAGAUGGGAUUGAAGACUAG